rnacentral:rRNA from 1 species
UACAGAGGGGGCAAGCGUUGUUCGGAAUUACUGGGCGUAAAGGGCGCGUAGGCGGCCGCCUAAGUCAGACGUGAAAUCCCUCGGCUCAACCGGGGAACUGCGUCUGAUACUGGGUGGCCUGAAUUCGGGAGAGGGAUGCGGAAUUCCAGGUGUAGCGGUGAAAUGCGUAGAUAUUGGGAGGAACACCGGUGGCGAAGGCGGCUACCUGGACCGGUUCUGACGCUGAUGCGCGAAAGCGUGGGUAGCAAACAGG